rnacentral:rRNA from 1 species
UACGAGGGGGGCGAGCGUUGUUCGGAAUUAUUGGGCGUAAAGGGUGCGUAGGCGGUUUGGUAAGUCUUAUGUGAAAUCUAUGGGCUCAACUCAUAGUCUGCAUGAGAAACUGCCGGGCUUGAGUAUGGGAGAGGUGAGUGGAAUUCCCGGUGUAGCGGUGAAAUGCGUAGAGAUCCGGAGGAACACCAAAAGGCGAAGGCAGUGUCCUGGGGAGUACCUGACGCUCAGGUGCGAAAGCCAGGGGAGCGAACGGG